rnacentral:lncRNA from 1 species
GCCGCACUCUGCACCCAGCGCCGUAAACAAACAAAGGCCGGGAAGUGGGGGAGGGGGUCUCGGUCAGGUGACGGGGUGCCGCACGUUUCGCAAUCGCACCCUGAGCUGCUUCAGGAUACAGACCUCGGCCCCCGACCCCAGCCCCGCCGAUCCCUGAAGACGGGCAGGAAUGGAGAGCGUCCGGGUGGGGCGGGGUGUCUCGCUCUCGGGCCACGCACGCGCCCCGACCGACCCCCUCCCGGCCCGUUCGGCUCUGCUCCCCGCUCCCCGCCGGCCGCAGCCGUUCUCUCUCUCGCUCUCUCCCCCAUCUCCGGGCGGGUCGCAGAGUUACGGUCCCCGGCUACCUCUCAGGCUCAGCGGACCCCCUUGGCCCCGGCACCAACGCUCCCCCGGCCGCAGCUAGCGAGCGCGGUCUCCAGUUCCCUUCCCUGCGGCGUCUCCUGCCACCUCGCUCCGAGGCCCGAGCUCACAACAAAGAAGUUAUCCCAAGCAACCAUUUCCUUUCUCCAUCCCAGAGAGCCAACCCAUCUGACAAAUAGCAUUUUUUUAGAAAGGAAAAAAAAAGUCAGUGUGAUUGAUCAAUAGAUUGAAAACAUCCGAAAGCAUUUCCUGUAGGUAACACCUAUGGACCUCCCACUCCACAGAGGGGAAAGCUGGGAGUGUAUUCUCAUCUGCCUUCACUGGAGUCCUAUUUGGUCUUCACAAUUUUGUUACAUUGACUUUUGAUUUUUUGGUGUCUGAUUGUUCUUUCCCUUUAUGUUGUAGUCAACUGCAUAUAUUGUUAUCUUGACUGCUGACUUCACUCUGUUCAUGAAGCUCUUCCCAAGCUUCUCUGUUUCCAUCACACACAUCAUUGUUUAUGGCUCACAAAGAUUCCAUUCCAUUUGUGGACUAUAGAUUGUUUAGCCAUUCCCCAAUUGAUGGAUAUCUCUCUUGUUUCCAAUUCCUCACUGGCACAAAGAGUGCGUCUAUCGGUGUUUUGGAGUGUAUGAGACUUCCUUCUUCUCAAUGACUUUUUGGGGGUAUCAGGAUGGUUGACAUGUUGGAUGGCAGAAGCUAGAAAAAUGGGCCAAAUUUAAUUAGUCAUAAAGCACUGCUCUGACUAUCUCAUCCCCCUGCUCAAGAAAGUUCAGUGAUUUCCUUUUGGCUCCAGUAAAAAAUAUAAGUGAGCAGCUAGAUGGCACAGUGGAGAGAGAGUGCCAGGCCUAGAGUCAGAAAGUUCUAAUUUAGGCUCAGACACUUUCUAGCAGUGUAACCCCGGAUAAAUCUUUACCCUGUUUGGCUCAGUUUCCUUAUCUGUAAAAUGAGCUGAAGAAGGAAAUGGCAAAGUACUCCAUUUUUCCAAGAAAAUCCCAAAUGGAGUCACGAAGGGUCAGACACAAUUGAAAAAUUACUGAAUUACAAAAAAUACCUAUUUUUCCAAACUGACUGAUGUUACAUUGUGGCCAUACUGGCCUGCAUCACCCAUCUUCAUACCUUUGCACAAAUUGUUCCCCAUGCCUGGAAGGCUUCUUCUCUUCACCUCUGUCUCACUUCUGUCAGGAGGCCUUUCCUAAUCCUUCCACUUGUUAGUAUUUUUUACUCCUGCCCCCAAAUUUAUAUAUUUACAGAAAUAUUUAUAAUAUUCUUAUUUUCUUGUUGUAAUUUGUGUGUGUGUGUGUAUGUGUGUGUGCGCGUGUGUGUGUGCCUGUUGCUUUCCUUCAGCAGAAUAUAAGCUCCCUGAGAGCAGGAACUCUUUUCUUUUUCUUUAUUAUUUCUAGAAUCCAGCACAGUGUUCAACAUAUAGUAGGUACUCAAUAAAUGCUCAAUAAAUUUCA